rnacentral:rRNA from 1 species
UACGGGGGGGGCAAGCGUUGUUCGGAAUUACUGGGCGUAAAGGGUGCGUAGGCGGUUCGCUAAGUUGGAUGUGAAACUCUGGGCUUAACCCAGAGCCUGCAUCCAAUACUGACGAGCUAGAGUUCUGGAGGGGGUAGCGGAAUUCCUGGUGUAGCGGUGAAAUGCGUAGAUAUCGGGAGGAACACCAGUGGCGAAGGCGAUCUUCUGGACCAUUUCUGACGCUCAGACGCGACAGCUAGGGUAGGCAAACGGG